rnacentral:rRNA from 1 species
GACGAACGCUGGCGGCGUGCUUAACACAUGCAAGUCGAGCGAUGAAGCUCCUUCGGGAGUGGAUUAGCGGCGGACGGGUGAGUAACACGUGGGCAACCUGCCUUAUAGAGAGGAAUAGCCAUCCGAAAGGAUGAUUAAUACCUCAUAAUAUUGUAGUUUCGCAUGAAGCAACAAUCAAAGGAGCAAUCCACUAUAAGAUGGGCCCGCGGCGCAUUAGCUAGUUGGUGAGGUAACGGCUCACCAAGGCGACGAUGCGUAGCCGACCUGAGAGGGGAAACGGCCACAGUGGAACUGGAACACGGCCCAGACGCCCACGGAAGGCAGCAGUGGAGAGAAUUGCGCAAUGGGGGAAACCCUGAUGCAGCAACGCCGCGUGAGUGAGGACGGCCUUCGGGUUGUAAAGCUCUGUCUUCAGGGACGAUAAUGACGGUACCUGGGGAGGAAGCCACGGCUAACUACGUGCCAGCCGCCGCCGUAA